GACGAACGCUGGCGGCGUGCUUAACACAUGCAAGUCGAACGGAAAGGCCCUGCUUUUGUGGGGUGCUCGAGUGGCGAACGGGUGAGUAACACGUGAGUAACCUGCCCUUGACUUUGGGAUAACUUCAGGAAACUUGGGCUAAUACCGGAUAGGAGCUCCUGCUGCAUGGUGGGGGUUGGAAAGUUUCGGCGGUUGGGGAUGGACUCGCGGCUUAUCAGCUUGUUGGUGGGGUAGUGGCUUACCAAGGCUUUGACGGGUAGCCGGCCUGAGAGGGUGACCGGCCACAUUGGGACUGAGAUACGGCCCAGACUCCUACGGGAGGCAGCAGUGGGGAAUAGUGCACAAUGGGCGGAAGCCUGAUGCAGCAACGCCGCGUGCGGGAUGACGGCCUUCGGGUUGUAAACCGCUUUCGCCUGUGACGAAGCGUGAGUGACGGUAAUGGGUAAAGAAGCACCGGCUAACUACGUG
rnacentral:rRNA from 1 species